rnacentral:rRNA from 1 species
ACGCUCGACACCUACGGGAGCAGCAGUGGGGAAUAUUGCACAAUGGGGGAAACCCUGAUGCAGCGACGCCGCGUGAGUGAAGAAGUAUUUCGGUAUGUAAAGCUCUAUCAGCAGGGAAGAAAAUGACGGUACCUGAGUAAGAAGCCCCGGCUAACUACGUGCAGCAGCCGCGGUAAUCUGAGCGGGCUGGCAAGGC